AAAAAGAUCUCCGCCGAAAACCUAGCUAACGAGAUGGUCAGUUUAAUAAAUCGAUAGUGAGGUCCCAACCAGCUAAGAGACAUAACUGUUUCCAAUCUCCGUAUCAGAUCUCGGGUCUCUGUUUCAGUUCUCCAAUUGAGAUAAGUGCUAUUUAUUUAUUAUGCUUUAUAUACAUGAUCCAAUUAAAGUUUGAUAAGAU
rnacentral:lncRNA from 1 species